rnacentral:rRNA from 1 species
GACGAACGCUGGCGGCGUGCUUAACACAUGCAAGUCGAACGGAAAGGCCUGCUUUCCCUUGUGGCUUGCGGGUGCUCGAGUGGCGAACGGGUGAGUAACACGUGAGUGAUCUGCCCCAACUUGGGUAAUAGGCUGGGAAACCGGGUCCUAAUCCCGAUUAGGCUGUCGGGGUGGGCCGGUUGUGGGAAAAGGAUUUGCUCGGGGUUGGGAUGAGCCUGGGGGCUUUCCGGUUGUUGGUGGGGUAAUGGGCCUACAAGGCGGGCACGGGUAGCCGGCCCGAGAGGGGGGACGGGGACAGUGGGACGGGGACACGGGCCCGACUACGAGGGGAGGCAGCAGUGGGGAGUAUUGCACGAUGGGCGGAAGCCUGAGGCAGCGACGCCGCGUGGGGGAUGACGGGCUUCGGGUUGUAAACUCCUUUCGACAGCGAGGAAGCCACCUGGUUGGAAGGGUGGUGACGGUAGUGGUAGAAGAAGCACCGGCUAACUACGUG